GAUGAACGCUGGCGGCGUGCUUAACACAUGCAAGUCGAACGAAGCARCUUAUYACGAUCCCUUCGGGGUGACGAUUUGUUGACUGAGUGGCGGACGGGUGAGUAACGCGUGGGUAACCUACCUUGUACAGGGGGACAACAGUUGGAAACGACUGCUAAUACCGCAUAAGCGCACAGCUUCGCAUUAAGCAGUGUGAAAAGUUUUUCGGUACAAGAUGGACCCGCGUCUGAUUAGCUAGUUGGUGAGGUAACGGCCCACCAAGGCGACGAUCAGUAGCCGACCUGAGAGGGUGACCGGCCACAUUGGGACUGAGACACGGCCCAAACUCCUACGGGAGGCAGCAGUGGGGAAUAUUGCACAAUGGGCGAAAGCCUGAUGCAGCGACGCCGCGUGAGCGAAGAAGUAUUUCGGUAUGUAAAGCUCUAUCAGCAGGGAAGAUAAUGA
rnacentral:rRNA from 1 species